rnacentral:rRNA from 1 species
CGUCGCGUCUUCCUUCGAUUCCUUAUGCGGGAUAUCCAAUCAAUUAGAAUUCAGGUUAAAGAGGGUCUUUAUCCUCGUCGUAUUCUUUAUAUGGAAAUCCGGGGCCAGGGGAUCAUUCCCUUGACUCGUACUGAUGAUCAAUUUUUUACUCCACGAGAAAUUGAACAAAAAGCUGCCGAAUUGGCCUAUUUCUUGCGCGUACCAAUUGAAGUAUUUUGA